UACAGAGGUCUCGAGCGUUGUUCGGAUUCAUUGGGCGUAAAGGGUGCGUAGGUGGCGCUGUAAGUCGGGUGUGAAAUCCUGGGGCUUAACCCCGGAACUGCAUUCGAUACUGCAGUGCUUGAGGGACUGGAGAGGAGACUGGAAUUCAAUGGUGUAGCAGUGAAAUGCGUAGAGAUCAUGAGGAAGACCAGUGGCGAAGGCGGGUCUCUGGACAGUUCCUGACACUGAGGCACGAAGGCCAGGGGAGCAAACGGG
rnacentral:rRNA from 1 species